rnacentral:rRNA from 2 species
AAGUCUGAUGGAGCACGCCGCGUGAGUGAAGAAGGGUUUCGGCUCGUAAAACUCUGUUGUUAGAGAAGAACAGCCGUGAGAGCAACUGCUCACGGUAUGACGGUAUCUAACCAGAAAGUCACGGCUAACUACGUGCCAGCAGCCGCGGUAAUACGUAGGUGGCAAACGUUGUCCGGAUUUAUUGGGCGUAAAGGGAGCGCAGGCGGUUUAUUAAGUCUGAUGUGAAAGCCUUCGGCUUAACCGGAGAAGUGCAUCGGAAACUGAUAAACUUGAGUGCAGAAAAGGAUAGUGGAACUUCAUGUGUAGCGGUGAAAUGCGUAGAUAUAUGAAGGAACACCAGUGGCGAAGGCGGCUAUCUGGUCUGUAACUGACGCUGAGGCUCGAAAGCAUGGGUAGCAAACAGGAUUAGAUACCCUGGUAGUCCAUGCCGUAAACGAUGAAUGCUAGGUGUUGGAAGGUUUCCGCCUUUCAGUGCCGCAGCUAACGCAUUAAGCAUUCCGCCUGGGGAGUACGACCGCAAGGUUGAAACUCAAAGGAAUUGACGGGGACCCGCACAAGCGGUGGAGCAUGUGGUUUAAUUCGAUGCUACGCGAAGAACCUUACCAGGACUUGACAUCUUCUGCCAAUCUAAGAGAUUAGACGUUCCCUUCGGGGACAGAAUGACAGGUGGUGCAUGGUUGUCGUCAGCUCGUGUCGUGAGAUGUUGGGUUAAGUCCCGCAACGAGCGCAACCCUUGUCUUUAGUUGCCAGCAUUAAGUUGGGCACUCUAGAGAGACUGCCGGUGAUAAACCGGAGGAAGGUGGGGAUGACGUCAAAUCAUCAUGCCCCUUAUGUCCUGGGCUACACACGUGCUACAAUGGGCGAUACAACGAGUUGCGAAACCGCGAGGUCAAGCUAAUCUCUUAAAGUCGUUCUCAGUUCGGGAUUGCAGUCUGCAACUCGACUGCAUGAAGUUGGAAUCGCUAGUAAUCGUGGAU